UAAAUUUAUUCAGUUGUUUUGUGACCUAACAUGAUCAGUUCUGAAAAAUGUUCUAUGUGCACUUGAGGAGAAUAUGUAUUCUGUUACUUUUAGCUGGAAAGUUAUAUGUAUAAAUAUAUAUAUAUUUAUAUAUAUAAUAUAAUAUAUAAUUAUGUAUAUUAUAUAAAUCUAAAGCCUAUAAUAUAUUGUAUAUUAUAUAAUCCUAUAUAUAUAAUUAUAUAUAUUAUUAUAAUAUAUAUAUACCUAAAUAUAUUUAGGUUUUUAUAUAUAUAAUAUAUAUAAACCUAAAUAUAUAUAUUAUAAUAUAUAUAUAAACCUAAAGCCUAUAUAUAUAAAGCCUAUAUAUAAACCUAAAGCCUAUAAUAUAUUAUAUUAUAUAAUAUAUAAUAUAAUAUACUGUAUAAACCUAAAGCCUGCCUGUCAAGCUAAAGCUCCAAGACAUAUAAGGAUUCAUCUCCUGAAUCCAGUAAGAUCUUACAAUGCGUCUUUCAAGGCUGAUGCUUAUUUUUUUUAAAGAUUUUGUCCAUUUACUCAUGAAAGACACACAGAGAGAGGCAGAGACACAGGCAGAGAGAAAAGCAGGCUCCACGCAGGGAGCCCAAUAUGUGACUCGAUCCCAGAACAGUAUCACGCCACGACCAGAAGGUAGAUGCCCAAUCGCUGAGCAACCCAGGCAUCCCAUCAAAGCUGAUACUUUCUUAUUUUGUCUGGAUGACGUAUUCAUUGAUGUAAGUUGCAUACUAAAGUCCUCUACUAUUUUGGUAUUUAUAUCUAUUUGUCCCUUUACAUAUGUUUAUUAUUCUCUUUAUAUACUUAGGUGUUCCUCUGUUGGGUGCAUAAAUAUUUACAAAUAAUAUAUAUCCUGUUGUUGGAUUAGCCCCUUUAUCAUUUUGCAAUGCUCAUCUUUGUUUCUAAUUAUAGUCUUUGCUUUAUUUUAUGUUUUAAAAGAUUUUUAUUUAUUUAUUCAUGAAAGACACAGAGAGAGAAAGGCAGAGGCAGAAGCAGGCUCCAUGCAGGGAGCCCGAUAUGGGACUCAGUCCCGGGACUCCGGGACUGCCUUGAGCCAAAGGCAGAAGCUCAACCACUGAGCCACCCAGGCGUCCUCAGUCAUUGUUUUAAAAGCCUGUUUUGUCUGAUAGAAGUAUAGUUACUCCAACUUUCUUAUGGCUUCUAUAUGCAUUGAAUAUCUUUUUCCAUCUCUUCAUUUCAGCCUGUGUGUUUCCUUACUCUAAACGGAGAGUUUUGUAGGCAACAUAUAGGUGGGUCAAUAGGUGGGUCUUUUGUUAUAAAUCCAUUUAGCUAUUCUACACCUUUUAAUUGGACUAUUUAGUCCAUUUGCCUUUAAAACAAUUAUUGAUAAGUAUGUACUUAUUACCACUUUGUUAAUUAUUUAUUGGCUGGUUUUGUAGUUCCUCUCUGUUCCUUUCUCCUUCUCUUACUCUCUUGCUUUGUGAUUUGAUGACUUUUUUAGUGGUAUACUUAUAGUCCUUUAUCUUUAUAUUUGUGUAUUUACUAUAGCUUUUUGUUUUCUGGUUACCAUGUGGCUUACAAAUAAUGACUUAUAACAGGCUACUCUAAGUUGAUAACAACUUAAGUAUGAUCACAAUCUAAAGCUCAACAAGUAUACUCUUUCCUCCACCUCCAAUGUUUUGUUUUUGAUGUCGCAUUUUACAUCUUUUUAUAUAUGCAUCUCUUAAUUAUUAUUGCAAUUAUUGUAAUCAUAGUUUUUUACUACUUUUGUCUUUUAACCUCCAUACUAGUUUUAUAAGUGAUUAAUGUACUAUUUUUGUGAUAUAUUUACCUUUCCAAGGAUAUUUUCUUUCAUAAAUUUUCUUGUUACUGAUUACUGCCCUUUGUUUUUAGCCUUAAGAACUCUUUUUCUGGGCAGCCUUGAUGGCUCAGCAGUUUACCGCUGCCUUCGGCCCAAGGCAUGAUCCUGGAGACCCCUGAUCUAGUCCCGCAUCAGGCUCCCUGCAUGGAUCCUGCUUCUCCCUCUGCCUGUGUCUCUGCCUCUCUCUCUCCUCUCUCUCUGUCUCUCUCUGCGUGUCUCUCAUGAAUAAAUACAUAAAUAAAUCUUAAAAAAAGAAAGAACUUAUUUUUUUCUGAUAAGCCUGAUUUAGUGGUAAUGAAUUCCAUUAGCUUUUGCCUUUCUGGAAAACUUCAUCCCUCCUUUUAUUCUGAAUAAUAACUUUGCCAAGGAGAGUAUUCUUGGUUCGAAGUUUAUUUCUUUCAUCACUGAAUCUAUCAAUAUUCUUUUGUUCUGCAAAAUUUGUGAUGAAAAAUCUGCUGAUAGUCUUAUGGGGCCUCCUUUGUAUAUAACAAGUUUUUCUUUUUUUUUUUUCUUGCUGCUUUUAAUAUUUUCUCCUUGUCUUUAUCUUAUGACAUUUUAAUUAUAACCUGUCUUGGUGUGGUCCCUUUGGGCUCAUCUUAUUUGAAAUUCUCUGAGCUUCUUAGAUCCAGAUGUCUGUUUCCUUCCCCAGGAAGGAAAGGGAGAUUUUCAGACAAUAUUUCUUCAA
rnacentral:lncRNA from 1 species